CCAAGGGCGAGUGCUUUGUGAAAUUAACAAGAGGGCUUUGUUCUGACUGACGUGACUUUAAGCAAUUUGAACUUGCGAUCCUCAAACGAAAAGCCAGGUCUGCGAGCAAGCCUACCAAUGUGGACUACGCGAGCCCAAAAGCGAGCCAGUGCAGAGAAGAAGAAGACGGAGGUGGUGCAGGCGGUGGCUCGACCGGCAGCGGCGGAGGUGGUGACGGCAGCAGUGGAGGUGGUGACGGCAGCAGCGUGGCUUGGGGAUUUGUCCUCCCCCUCGUAACAGCGUUUAGAGAAGGCGAAGGCCUUGGUGGUGGCGGCAUUGAAGGAUUUUAGCCAUUUGGGGACCACUUAGACUCGUGAGGUGGCUGCCGGGAGGAUUACAACAGUUUAGACUUUCAAAUUGGGGUAUCCCGGGCACGUCCCGUCGACCUUGAGUUCGAAGCUCAAGGAGUUUUGAAGAGUUUUGUGAGCGCACCACAUGUAUGGCGACAUUCCAGGCAAAUCCCUGCUUGGGGCAAAUGUGUGAUUGUGUGCU